GCAGACGCGAAGCCGCCGACUGCGGCUACCGUAGACCGAACUUCGAGCUACCAAUCACGGCCGCUAGGCGCGUUCCCAUCUACUGCAACGAACGCUGCGCCCUCUUCGUCAACCGCGCGUUAAUUCAAAUUCUUCUUUCGUUCCUUCGAUGUCCUUACAUAUAUACUACAUAUGCAUCAUCGAAAAUCGCUAUGUUUUUCUUUACGAAUUUGAUCUUACAUCGAUCGUAAUAAUUAUCGAUCAUUGAUACGUUAUUUAAACGAUACGAUACAUUUUCUAGUUUUGCAUUCUUAUUUUCGUUUUGAAUAUCACAACCAGAGGUACGUUUAUAAACCGCGUAAUCUAUGAGUGCGUGCACUGUACUGAAUCAACAAUGGAGUGUCCCUCAAGGAUUUGUACGUCCGAGAUACUAAAAAGUUUCCUUUUAACUUUUUCGAGAAAGAAAAAGAAGAGGAGGCUGCAAUAUCCGAUGACUCCACGUGCAACUACCUACGCCUGUAUCGAGAAUACGUAAUGAGGAAACCGUUCGAUGACUUUAAGAUGGUGAUACACGUGAUACACGUGAUACACGUUUGUUGCAUCGUUAAGAAUUAUAAUCCUGAAUUACGAACGAACAAAGGACACGUCGUAUUGCUAAAACUACGACUUGCAGAUCUCCUCCUCAUUCUCCUCUUCCAGUAUAUGUACUCAAUUUUAACUCGUUUCUAUUAAGGGAAAAUGAAACUUGUUAAGGGACACGAUUGAACGAAAGGAUAGAAAAAUCGACGAUUGCUUUCGUCGAGCGUUUGUUGUAUUUAUAUCAAUCGAUGUUAACGAAGUCGAAUUACUUCAAUAAGUAAAACGGAGCGUUAGUGUUAACGUAUAUACUCCGAGAGCAAUCAUUUCAGAACAAGCUUUGAAAAUAAACAACGAUCUAAUGUAAGACAUACAUACGUAGAAAACGGGUAUCGGUAAAAUAUGAAAUGUAAACGUUUCGAAAGAUUCGUAUGGCAUCUGUAUUUUUCCCAAGCGUUUUAAAAAUAGUGUAUUCACCCUGCUGUUCGUUUUCAAGUGUUCAAGAUAAGCUUCAUUAAUCUAACCUACUGACAUGUAACGGCGACUGCUUGCUAACGCGUAUCUUCUUUUUAUCCGACCUUUUCAUACGUACGUACGACAUACAUAGUAUCGAACGAGAAAUUUUAACGAACGGAGAGACGUACCACGCGGUAAUUUAUGCGAGUUAAAAGGAGUGCUCUUGAACGCGCAGAGGUUAACAUAAACUCGUACGCGUAUAUACGUUUCUCGCUCAACUCGGUAGGGGCCAAACAAUACAACUAAUUAUCAUCAAUUAUACCAAAGAGAAAGGAUAAAAGAAA
rnacentral:lncRNA from 1 species